rnacentral:rRNA from 1 species
AUUGAACGCUGGCGGCAUGCCUUACACAUGCAAGUCGAACGGCAGCACGGGAGCAAUCCUGGUGGCGAGUGGCGAACGGGUGAGUAAUAUAUCGGAACGUGCCCGGUCGUGGGGGAUAACGUAGCGAAAGCUACGCUAAUACCGCAUACGAUCUACGGAUGAAAGCGGGGGAUCGCAAGACCUCGCGCGAUUGGAGCGGCCGAUAUCAGAUUAGGUAGUUGGUGAGGUAAAGGCUCACCAAGCCGACGAUCUGUAGCUGGUCUGAGAGGACGACCAGCCACACUGGGACUGAGACACGGCCCAGAUCCUACGGGAGGCAGCAGUGGGGAAUUUUGGACAAUGGGCGCAAGCCUGAUCAGCGAAUGCCGCGUGCAGG